UCAUAUUUAAAAUCAUAGAGAUUAAAUAUGAGAUGAAAGAAAAAUAUUCAUUUAAGAGUAAGAGGAUUCAUACAACUCCAAGAACAGAAAUUAAAGAUACAAAAAUCCUUAUUUCUCUGUUAGAGCUUCAUCCAACCCUAGUGAGGAGAUCAGCCCUGCAUGGUUGUGGACGACAGCAGCAGCGCAAAGGGCUUCCAUCGCGACCAGAACUUCUUCCUUUCUUCCUCCGGCUCUUUCCUCUCCCCUCUCUAGCACUUCAUUUUUUAUUCUUUCUGUGGAAAGUUCUUCCCAGAAUACCGCAAAGUAUUCUCCCUCCUUUUACUCUAUGGGAUUCGGCCUGAGAGAAGAUUGCCAUGGGAUCCGUCUCCUCCUUCUUUUAUAGCCUUCACUAGCCCUCCUGUUUCCCUCUCUGGAUAGGAUCUUCCGAGUGGGAAGAUAAGGGCAAGGAACGGCUUCCUGUUCCAUGGACAUGAUCGAGAUGGGGAGAUGAUCUGAUCCGGACGUGAAAGUCGGUGAGCUAGGAGCCGGAAUUCCUUGGCUAAAGUCGGCUUGAUCCUUGGCUGUAGGGGAUGGCGAGGACGUGGACGUCAGAUUGAGCUUACGGCUGAGAUGGAGAUGCGGGAGGCUUGAAAACGGUGGAUACGGCUGAGAACAGGGGAUCUUUGGAUGCGGAAGGAUGGAGUUGAUCCAGAAGUUGGGAGGAAAAGCUUAGAUGCCGUGAAGCUCGGGAGGAUGAAGCCGAGGAAGCUAGGGAGCUGAUCCGGAAGAUGCUGGGAUGAAUCCGGAUGGGAAGACGACUCUAUUCCUUGGGAGGAUGAGCUCGGAAAGGACGUGGAGGAGGUCGUGGAGAAACAGGGGAUGUUUUUGUUCUAAUCUAGAUUCGGUUCUGGAUGAAUGUCAUGGAACAGGGGAGUUGGAAAGGAUUCAUAAAUUCAGGACUUGGAAUUCAGAAGAAAUGAAGCUGGGAAGAGAUUUUUGGACUGCGGAAGAAUCCUUCGGCUAGGAACAGGGGAGCUAGGAAGUUUGGAUAAGGAUGAUAGGAAAUAUGGGAGUUCGGAAGGCUUAUCUUGGCUGGGAUCUAGCGGAAGUAGAUGGGUUGGUUCAGAAGAUGGCUGGGACAUGAUCCACAGAAUGGGGAGAGGGUGAUGCUGAAAUGGAGACGUGAGAGGAUCUCGGAGGUUGGGAUGGCUGGAUGUGAUUCGUGAUGAGAAGAGAUUGGGGUUGACUCUAUUUUGAAGCUUAAACAGGGGAGGAAAGAGAUGACGUGGAAGGAACUUUGGAUGCGGAAGGGAAGGACGUGCACAUGGCUGAGAUGUGAAUGGGUGUGAUCAUGGGUGUUUGAUACAGGGGUUGUGAUCCUAUUAGUUGGUAAGAUGGUUGGAACGUGUGGGAAGGGAAUUAGGUGACUGAGAUGUGAUGCAGGGAAGUUUUGUUGAGCCAAAUGCGGAAAAGAAACAAGUGAGUUGGGAUGAACGGCAGAAUCAGAAUAUGAGAGGGUCUUGAUUUGCAGGGUGCAUACGAUUUGGGUUCAGAAAUUAUCCCAAAUGAGCUUGACUCAACCUGCAUAUAUAUUAGACUCGACCUGCAUAGAUUGGACUCGACCAAUAAAAUCAAUCAAACUUGAAUUACUUCUAGUGAUUCAUUAAAAUGGAAAGGAAGAGAAACACAUUUUCUUAUGUUUAAAUUUAAAAUAUGUACAUAAAAAUAAUAAUAAGUGCUAUGUAAAAUAGAUAAAUUUAUUCAUUAUUUAGCACUUAUCA
rnacentral:lncRNA from 1 species